rnacentral:rRNA from 1 species
UACGGGGGGAGCAAGCGUUGUUCGGAUUUACUGGGCGUAAAGGGCGCGUAGGCGGCGUGACAAGUCACUUGUGAAAUCUCCGGGCUUAACUCGGAACGGUCAAGUGAUACUGUCGUGCUAGAGUACAGAAGGGGCAACUGGAAUUCUCGGUGUAGCGGUGAAAUGCGUAGAUAUUCGCAAGAACACCAGUGGCGAAGGCGGCUCACUGGCCCGAUACUGACGCUGAGGCACGAAAGCGUGGGGAGCAAACAGG